GUUCAUAAAUAUGGAAACAUCAUGGCUGACGAUCACAUGACCAUUGCCACCCGAGUUUGGGGAUAAAAGUUGCGCGCGCAUGCCGAAAUUGAGCAAUAGGGGCCGAUUAAACACGAGCAAUUUUAUGAUUAUGGGUUGGAUGUUGUGUCGAACGUCGAACAUGACUGUCCGUUCCGUUGCAAAAAUUUUUAUCUUUAUAUAUGUUCUGUGAUUUUUACUGAUGUAAUAUAAUAUUGAAAGUAUACUGUGGGAGGACACAUUCAGAAACCGAGACCGUGCUGCAGACGUUGCUACAGAUUCUUAUUUAUCAGCGAAAAAGAACUACGUGUUUUGUCGAAAAUUCUCAUCAGCGAAAAAAAAGUAGAAUAAACGACGCGAGAGAAAAAACAUCAGACAUGUAAAGAAAGUGAAGAAAGAGAUGCUCGAGACAAAAACUGAAGAAAAUAAACAGACAAAAUUCUUACAGAAAUAUGGGCAUAGUUAUUUACUAUAUACUUCAGAAAUCUGAAAUGUUGUCUGUGUAUCUGGAAAGAUUAGCCAAAUUUGCGCACUGUACUAAUAUAAAUUUUUACCAAGAUGUAACUUGAGAUGAUAUUCUCAUUCACCCAGACGCGAAUGACAGCUUUUGUAAAAAGAAUAAAUACACUAGCAUUGUAUAAAAAUAUAGCGUAUACUACACCUUUGAGCGGCGAAGGUAGUUCGGCAACUGAAAUUGCAAAAUUAUCACCAGAGGAGCUUUACGCGGAGUAUGAUCCUGCGGGUGUAGCAUUUAAGCCUGUUAUACGUAUUCCAAAGAUGUUGCUCGUUAAAAAAGUACUAUUUAAUUAUAAUUUGAGCGAUGAGGGACGAUUUACGUGCUGACGAUAGGAAGAUGGGAGCCAUAAUAGUAAUAUUAUUGUUUAUGUUAGGCAACUAACAAAGACUGUUUUUUUUUUAUUGUUCUUGUCACAUUUGUGAUUUUUGUUUUGUGACAAGAAACUUUAGAAUAAUUUGGUUUCUUUUAUUAUAUAUUAUAAGUACAGUUUUGAAAGGUGCUAAUAUUAUCAAUGUUAGUAUUCUAUGCGUUUAGCAGUCAAUAUUCUUAUGAUCUUUUAAUAGUAAUAUUAUUGUUAAUGUUAGGCAACUAACAAAGACUGUUUUUUUUUUAUUGUUCUUGUCACAUUUGUGAUUUUUGUUUUGUGACAAGAAACUUUAGAAUAAUUUGGUUUCUUUUACUAUAUAUUGUAAGUACAGUUUUGAAAGGUGCUAAUAUUAUCAAUGUUAGUAUUCUAUGCGCUUAGCAGUAAAUGUUCCUAUGAUGUUUUUUUAAUAUUUUUUUUUACAAAAUUUCUAAAUAGUGUUUAGAAAUAAGUUAUAUCUGUAAGAAUUUUAAGAAUUUAAUAUUGUUACCGUAUUUACAUGUUAAUCGUUACUAAAUCGUUAUAUAUACAUAUAAGGAAAAUAAAAGUGCCUUUUAUUAUUCA